UACGUAGGGCGCAAGCGUUGUCCGGAUUUAUUGGGCGUAAAGAGCUCGUAGGCGGUUUGUCGCGUCUUCCGUGAAAACUGGGGGCUUAACUUCCAGCUUGCGGUGGAUACGGGCUGACUGGAGUGCGGCAGGGGAGACUGGAAUUCCUGGUGUAGCGGUGAAAUGCGCAGAUAUCAGGAGGAACACCGGUGGCGAAGGCGGCGUCCUGGACCAACACUGACACUGAGGAGCGAAAGCCAGGGGAGCAAACGGG
rnacentral:rRNA from 1 species